rnacentral:rRNA from 1 species
ACAGUAUAUAGUGAAUCAUCGAAUCUUUGAACGCACUUUGCGCCUCGUGGCUCAUGUCACAAGGUAUACUUGUUUGAGUAUCCACAACAUUCUCACUACACCCUCGGGUUCAGUAGUGGUUUUGAGAUUCGAUGAGCGCCAGCGCACGCACCUAGUGUGUGUGUUAUGCGCGAGUCGUUUCUUUAAAUGGAGGCCGACCACACGUGUCUCAGCUGAGACAUGGUUAUUGGGAUAACAUCCUAACAAUAGCCAUAAGCUUUAACAUGGAAGGCCAUCUAGCAUUGACUGAGGCACCUUUCUGGUGUUUCAGUUGGUACAUACCGAAGGUUAGAGGAGAAAUGUGGCAACACACGCCUCUUCUGCUUUACGCUUUGAAAUGGAUCUCAAAUCAAGUAGGGAUACCCGCUGAACUUAAGCAUAUCAAUAAGCGGAGG